CUGUAUUUGCCAAUGCAAAAAGAAAUCGAAGACACAUUGUUGAAAAGAAAACAGACAUUAAAGAACAUCUGUGCUUUAAUGAGGAGAAAGGAAGUGCAAGCGGGGUGCUGAUUCAUCCAGAAAGUCCUUUCUGGCACCGGAGUAGGGCCUGAGCUGGCGCGGAUUUUGAGUUCAGACAGGAAGCGCGAAGAGGCAGGUACAGGGUGAGGCCGGAGAUCACGCAGGUCUGUCUGUCCCGGGAAGACAGAAAAGUUAAGUUCCCGGGGCUGGGACACUCGCAGGGAAUGGAAGGCAUGAUGGGGAGGGGAGAAGGAAAAUAGAUUCCACAGCUGCAGGGCUGGGCAAGCGGGUGAGGGAGGUGGAGAGGGCAGGCAUCCAGCCUCCUGCUCCACUCACAGCAGGACCCCCCCACCCCAAGUCCUUUCAGAAUCCUUGACUCCUCGGCCAGAGCAACGCAUCGGCCCCAAGGCUCGACCACAUAUACACAUAGAAGCUCCCUCAUAAACACACAGAAGCCCCCUUUUCAUCGAUGGGUCGGUUUCUGAUUUGUUUCCUGUUGUAACGGGGAAGGGUUCAUCAAUGACAACCAGCCCUGGAAUGAAUCUCCAUCCGCGGUCAGCUUGGAGAGCUCACGGCGUCUCUUCGAGUCAGGGACUUUAGGAUUUUCCCCACUUGGGAGAAACUUUGCCAAAUUGAUCACAUGACUUUUACCUGAUCAAAGAUGUCACAAAACCUACACGCCCUUGGGAUGACGUCUGGAAAAGCCCCAUGCUCCUUUCUUCCAUAAUUCCACUCAUCUCCUCCUUCCCUGCCAGCCCAGUGGGAGAGUAUUCGGCGUCCAGGCUUCACCUCCCCUGGAGGAAAGCGGAGAAAACCCUAAGCCGCCUUCUGGAGUCGUUCCGCUGGAGCAAGCUUGGGAAGAGCCCCAGCUCCGAUGAAGAACCUUGUGCUGGUCCCGUGAGGCUUGCACCAUAAGUGAGAUUUUAUUCCUGGCUUUGCAGGAGCCCUGUGUCUGGGCCACUGGGUCCUGAGGAAGGUGGGUACUAACAGGGAGGGCUAUAACCAUCCCUGAAAAACAUUUCAAACUGUGUUACAAGCUAGCCCCGCCGGAGAGAGGGCCCCUACUUUGCUUUCUACAUCGUUCUUAGGUCUCUUCAAAGCACUCAAUUAAAAAAUGUGGCUUCUAUAAAACUCAGAGCAGACUAUUAUAGAGCAAACAGCUGCCAUGUGAUUAGAAACACAGGAAAUGUUUUGAGGAAGGGAUGCUUGGUGCUAUUAAUUUUUUUCCUUUGUGUUUCAAGUAUGGUUCCCAGAAAAUGGGGCAAGGUAAUAGUUUGUGUUCUUGGUUUUAUUUUCACCAUGACACGAUUAGAAAAGAAACCCAUAGUCAUUGCAGAAAAUGUUUGAAUAUGCAGGAAAUUAUGGAGAAAAAAAAAAAUCAAAUCCACUCAUAAUCCCAGCAUUCAGAUACAACAACUCUUUUGGUGUUUUAUGAUGUAUUUUGGUACCGUAUUUCUUAUACUUUGUAAAAACAUAACUGAGAUCAUAUUUUACGUAAAACUUUGAAAAUCACUUUUUCUCCGCUUAACUUCCGUUCGUAAACAUUUCCUUAAAAAGUCCUUAUAAAUAUAAUUUUGGUGUCUGUGUAGCAUUCGGUCGUAUGGAUGUGACAUCAUCAGGUAACAAUUUCUUGAUAAGUAGUUCUGUGAUAAACAUCUGUGAGUCUCUUUCUGCAUUUCAGAUAACCCCCUGAAGACAGCUCUUUAGCACUGAUCAUCCUCAGUGAGGGGUAAAUUCUGUAUCCAGUCAAUUAAAGGACAACAAAACAGCAAUCUUUUGUUAUGUUUUACCUUUAAAUACAUAUUGGGGCGCCUGGGUGGCGCAGUCGGUUAAGCGUCCGACUUCAGCCAGGUCACGAUCUCGCGGUCCGUGAGUUCGAGCCCCGCGUCAGGCUCUGGGCUGAUGGCUCAGAGCCUGGAGCCUGUUUCCGAUUCUGUGUCUCCCUCUCUCUCUGCCCCUCCCCCGUUCAUGCUCUGUCUCUCUCUGUCCCAAAAAUUAAAAAAAUAAAUAAAUAAAUAAAUAAAUACA
ensembl:lncRNA